rnacentral:rRNA from 1 species
GGUUAAAAAGCUCGUAGUUGGAUUUCUGUUGAGGACGGCCGGUCCGCACUAUGUGCGUGUAUCUGGUUCGGCCUCGGCAUCCUCUUGAGGAACGUUUCUGCGCUUGAUUGCGUGGAGCGGUAUUCAAGACUUUUACUUUGAGGAAAUUAGAGUGUUCACGGCAGGCAAGCGCCUUGAAUAUGUUAGCAUGGAAUAAUAAUAUAGGAUCUUGGUUCUAUUUGUUGGUUUCUAGGGCUAAGGUAAUGAUUAAUAGGGAUAAUUGGGGGCAUUUGUAUUAACGCGUCAGAGGUGGAAUUCUUGGAUUGCGUUACGACAAACUACUGCGAAAGCAUUUGCCAAGGAUGUUUUCAUUGAUCAAGAACGAAAGUAUGGGGAUCGAAGAUGAUUAGAUACCGUCGUAGUCUAUACCAUAAACUAUGCCGACUAGGGAUUGGAGGUCGUUCUUUUUAUGACUCCUUCAGCACCUUAUGAGAAAUCAAAGUCUUUGGGUUCCGGGGGGAGUAUGGUCGCAAGGCUGAAACUUAAAGGAAUUGACGGAAGGGCACCACCAGGCGUGGAGCCUGCGGCUUAAUUUGACUCAACACGGGGGAAACU